GGGCCUUUUCGUGCCCGGCGUCCGGGCGCGCUGCAUCGACCCUCACCCCGGCCCCUGCCCCCCGGGGCGGCCGGUGGGCAGAAAAAGACCGAAACCCACUCACGGCCGCCUCUCGAAUCGCGGCUCUGCUGUUUGCGGGGCGUGCUAGAAACGUGGUCCUAGAAAGAAUGGCGUCCAUUUACAUAAUGCUUUGUUUGCGUUUCGCAAGUUUUUUUCGGUUAAAGCCACAGAAACUCCACCUCUUGCCCUUGUGUCGUUUCCACCGCGGCACCCUUUUCCGACAUUAGAAACAAUAGUGUGCGCCUGUGGAGGCCUUGUUUAUUCAGGGGCUGCCGGCCAGGGCUUCAGGACGUUUCUGCGGCUUUUUCCGCGCGGCCUGGGCUCCCGCGGCUGCCUUUCGGGCCCAUGGGCGCAGCCACCGCACCCGACUCUCUGGGGGCGGCCCCGUCAGGGCCCGCCAUCUUGGAAGGCCUUUUUUGCAGGUUCCUCCCGCUGAGGAAGUGUCGUUUAAGACUCUGGCAUAUGAGUUGUGAUUUCUGCCCUUUCCCCUUCCUCCUUGGGCUAAGCCAGACCAGAAAGGGCCCCGUGCGCAACGUGCUUCAGAAUCCCUCGGGGAAAGCGGCUAACGUGGCGCUACUCCGCCUCCCCCGUUCCUUCCCCGUGGGGCGGCCGCCAUGUUGGCUGAACACAAAAUGGCGACACGUGGCUAGCAUUCGUCGCCAACGAGAAAUUGGGGUCGGCCCGAAAGCUCUGGAAUGUACCCCCGUUCCUCCCCGGGGCCUUUCCCGCCCCGCGAGUUUUAUGACCUAGAAAACCCCACAGGCUGGUCUGAAGGUCGGAAGCCUAAUUUUAACGCGUUUUCCUCCCUUUAAUUUGAAACGGGAACGCGAAUAACUAAAAUGUAGGCACAAUAUUUAAUCUCUCGCCUUUUGAAAGCUUAACGAUGAAUAAUAGGGGGCAGUAUCAAGGGAUAAUUUGGGUCCCCACAGUACCAAAGCAUUUAGAAACCUGCUUAAUUCAAGGAAUGAGAUAAAUUACUGCUUUUCUAGACUGCCUAGCAUGGGCCGUUGUGCUGGAGAGAAGGAGAAAUACGAAGAGACCAGAAUGCCUCUGACUUUUUCAUAGGACGGUUGGCCGGUGAAUCUUACUAACAGUUUACCACAAUUCAGUGUUCACUCUUAGUCUAGAAGGGACAGGCGUUUAUUGUGCAUUGGCCAGUGCCAGCACAUCCGAUGCAAGGCAUUUCACCGUAUUCUAUCUUUAAUUUUUACCAUGAUCCUCUGAGGUAGGUGUUCUUAUCUCUCUCUCUUUUUUAAACAGAGGAAGACACUUAAACAUAAAGAUGAAGUGCCUAAUUCAAGGUCACACAAUGUCGGGGAUGGACCUCCAGAUUUCCUUACUGACCUGCAUUAUCUUGUGGAUACCUGAGUGAAUUACACACCACCCAUUUUAUAGAUGAAGCCACUGAGACAUGGAGCAACUGACUGAGUAGUCACUGCCCCACCCCUGGAGCCUCACACAUGACUCGUCUCCUCUCACUCAGUGACUACAGGUUGGUUGAGGGGUUUAACAAGGCUAAGAAGAUCAGUCUGCACAAAAGGAAUUUCUACCUCUCCCUACUUUGUAAAUGCAGCCUGACAAAUUUGUGCUUCACUUACGAUUAUUUAGUUAGAAGGUGAGACAUGGUCUUGUAACACAGUGGUUAAGAAUGUGACUUUGGAGCCAGCCUGCUAAGGGAUGAAUUCUGACUCAGCCAUUUACUAACUGGGUGACCUUAGGCUGGAGUGCAAUGACGUGUUCUCAGCUCACCACCUCUGCUUCCCGGGUUCAAGCGAUU